AACAGAGAGAUAAUUUCUGGGUUACGAUGAAGAUAAUUUCUGGGUUCUAAUGAUUAUCUUUUGCAUGCAACCUAACCCCAUAUUUGUGCACUCCAUAAGGUGGAAGAGCUGAAUGUAUCAAAGCCUGUGACAACUUGGUCAGAAACACACAGUGCCUCUGUUCCAGCUGGUUCUCUUAAUGCAAGUUUACUACCUGUGGAAUGGGCAUUUGAUGAUUGAAUGAAUCACCCGCGUCGGUUUUGCUGCAUCUGCAUAAUUUCACUGUCAUAUUGUUAGUUUUAAUAGAAAUUGAAAUGUGUAUUCAACUAUUCAUAUAGAGAUGCAUGAUUGAAAAGAUAGUUUCUUACUGUUAAUUGAUUGGAAGAGAGUUUAGGCAUGAUUCAAAAAUAGUUUUUUUUUUUUUUUUUUUUUUUGUUAUUGGUUAAAAAGGUGCAGACUUUUGUGACUCCAGUGGUGCAGACUUUUGUGACUCCAGUGUCCACUAUUUUUUGAGUUUCCACUAUAAGGACCAUAUUUCAUAUGAUAUUUAUAACCAUAGAAUGGAAAUGGUAACUUUAACUUUCCUUUGUGGGUACUAAGAUUCUGUGGCUUUUGUAUAAACUUGAAAUCAUGUAAUUGUCACUCACCAAUCCUACGAUGAUAUUUUUGCAUAGUUGAAAUACAUAUGAUCUAUAUUUGUACAUUUUCUGCCUAGGAGAACUGUAAUGAGUCUUAGCCCCAUAUUUGAGGAAGUUUGGAGCAACGUUCUGGAGAUUGCGCUGAGAGUUUUGGGCUUGCACUUGGUAAUGGCUUGGUCUGGUCGAGUGUACUAAAUAGCAAUUUCUGCUGCUAAAUAUGCAGGUUAGUCCUGUUUGAUGUUCAUAGGUUUGUACGAGAUGCUAUUGUAUCUAAAUCUGGUGGAUGGUACUUCUAAAAUUCGAGGGUACAUUCCUUAUAACAGUUCUAUUAACUUGGCUGGAAACAUCCAAUUAUUUCAUUGUCACUGCAGUUCCAUAAUGAAAACAAUGAUUAUGACAGGGACAAAGAACUAAAUUGAUCAUUGACUAUUUUGAGCCUGUUAGCUUCAAGGGCAAGAGUUUAGGCCUGUAUACCUUUGACAUAUCUCUCCCACCAUUACCUGAAGCCUUUUUCUCUAGUGAUUAUCAUCUACAUAUGAUUAUCUCAUUUAUAGAUAAUUUUGCAGUUGUACAUAUUAAUCUUUUUGUAUUCUGUUAUCACUUCGGUGAUUGAGUUCUACUACGAUUGUAACUUCUGUAUGCAUAUCAAUAUAAAUACAACACAAAAUUUGCGGCUGUUUCCUUAGUGAUUAUCAUCUACAUAUGAUUAUCUCAUUGAUAGAUACAACACUAAGUUAAUGUGUCUUAACUUAUGAUUGCAACUGCAUUACAUACAAAAUUGUGAAAAAAAAGACUUACAUACGAAAUUUGUGAAAAAAA